ACUAAUAACCCCAUAGCAGCUGUUCUCUUUCUCUCUCGAGAUUCAUUUGCUUCAGUAAGACAUUUUUAAUCUCUUGAAGAUGAUAGAAAUAUUUAUCCUCCAGUUUGAACCAGUGUGAUUGUGAAAUUUUGUGGUUUGGUUUAUCUGAAUUAUUUGUAUCAUUCUUGUUGACUCAGCUGAACUCGUCCCUGACCUCUGUCUGGUCCAGGGUUCAUUACCAAUGGACGCAAGCAAAUAUUGGUCCAAAACUCUGGGAGCACUCACUGACAAGACUUUUUUUUUUUAAAUUAGUUUUAGCAAAAUCUCACAGAAGAUAUUCCUGCUGUGUAGCUGGAUCAUUACCUGCAGCGUUCCUGACAUUCCUGAGCUCCUCCUCCCUGGGGCAGAGAGAAGAACCUGUUGGUCCAUGUUUGUUGUUCCCUUGCAGCCAUGGAUGCUGUGUUGGAAGGAGCGGUGCUGUUGUCUGCGUGUAAACUGGUCUGCAGUUUUCUCGUCCUGCCGUCUCUGGCUGCGUCCCACAGUCCUGUCAGCUUCUGCUGCUGCUCCCUCUUGAUUUUCACGGACUUCCUGGUCACAGCGUUCCUGAGUUUCCUUUGCAUCUUGAAGUUCUGGCUGGCUGAGCUGAACCCACCAGGUGACGUCAUUGCCCUGCGGUUCCUGCUCUUCCUCAGCCACACCUACAGAGCCGUGCUGCUCUUCACCACGUUUCUGAUCGCAAUGGAGACCCUGAUCAGGUUGCCAGGGCCGCGUGCUGCGGCUGAUUCCUGGAGAAUUUUCAGUUAUGAGGAUGAGGAGGAUGAGGAUGAGGAGGAGAAGGAGGAGGACGGUGGCGUCUCGGAUGAAGGCGAAAGCUUGCCACAGGUGGUGGGGUUCUUCUGCUGCCUAUCAGUGUGGAUCGCUGUGGCGUUCAGUGUUCGAUGGCACUGGAAGCUGGAGGAAGGGUGGACGGCUGCUUGUCUGGACAAAACCAACUCUCUCAUCAGAUGUCUUCCUAACGUCUUCAGUCCCAUGCACAGAGCCAUGGAUCCCUACUGGAGUGUGGCCUUCAUGGUUCUCCUCGGGCUGCUGCUGACCAUCAGCACGGGUCUGCCGAGGAGAAACCAAACCUCUGCAGAACCGCAGAGAACACAACGAUACGAGGAUGAAGCAGCGCCUGCAACCUUCAAGCCACUUCAUCCAGAAAUGUUUACCCCACAGUGUGUUGGUGGAGACUUUCCCCUCAUGUCCCGUGACUGCUUGUCUGAAAAGAUGGGAAGACAGGAGUGGACUCAGAAACACGUUUCCCUGGAUCUAGUCAGAGGGCAGCGCUUAGAUUCAAAUCAAACCCGCCUGAGCAGAUGGAAACAGUGGGGUUUUCCAAGCCUGGAGGAGAAUACCGUAAUAGCCGUUGUUAGCGUGCUUUGCAUGUUCACACUUCCUUUCUACCUCAGCGUGAACACUUUCCUCAUCAGGACUAUAGACUCUCUGCUGAAUGGAUGCAUCAAGUCUUUACUUUUGUCUGUGGCCAACAGAGACACAGCAGCCUCUCUCAGAGUCUCACAGGUUUAAGAAACAAAGCCAGACUUCAGCUGAUGACUGUUUGCAGCAGAACCAGGAAGAGUGGUUCCAGUGUGCAGACGGCCGUUUUACCUGUUGACGCUGCUCUGACAGGAGAGUAAACACACCUUCCCAGGCAGCUUUUCACAUGUUGGGGAUAGUAGUUGUUGAGUGCACAGAGGUGCUGAGGAGGCAGGUCGAGGCGUGCUUGCAGAGCGACACAAAGUACUUUUUAAACUCCUCUGGGCAUCGGUUUCCUCAGACAUUUGUCUCUGCACAAAACCAGUUUAUGUGAGAUUGAUCCAGGGGAAAACAGCAUCUUGCAAUUUGUAACAUAAAGUCUGCUGAUGCUGCCUGACAUAAAGAUAUAUGUAAUGAAAACCAAGGGACUAGAGGGCAAACAGAUGGAGUUUUUACUGCUAUUAUGGAGUCAUCAGACUGUCUCCAUGCCUUGAAAAUAAUCCAUGUUGGUCGUUUUACAUUUUGCCUCAAUGAUAUUUGAGUGGGAUGUUAAAGGAAAGACCUGCAUAAAAUUCUGUAAAUGUAUGAAGUGAAUUAAAAAAAGAAGUUUUCACCAAGAAAAAUCUUAUAAGUGUUGCAUGCAUUUGUAUUCUGCUCCUUUACUCUGAUACCCUUAAAUAAAAUCCGGUUGCCCCCUGCCCCCACCUUCUUCAAAUUAAACAAAAUUGGUUUUAUUGCUAUCAUUGAGAAAAUAAUAAUAAAUGUUUCCACAGAUUACCAAGAACCAACCAAAAAACAAAACUGAGAAAAUUUUGUGCAACGAGACUACAAAUGUUUUAGCUGCACAAAUAUUUCAAGUCAAGUUUUUUUUUUUUUUUGUUAAUGAGGGGGAUCAGGGCAGAGGUCAAUCUCUGGUGACCUAUAGAGAUGUUUUUUGCAUUUUUUUUAUCUUAAAAAUUAAUGACACAAAGGGAAAUUUUUGCAACACAACUAUAGUACAAUUGAUUGACAACAUAUUUAUGGGAAUUUUAUUUUGACCAGACAUAGUCAACCGGUUAUCAAAAAUUUGACACUAAUUUUAUUUAAUUUGAAGGAGAGGGGGCCAACUUUACUCAGGUGUCUUGCUGACCAAAUUAACCCAUUCAUAGCCCAAUAAGCAACUUGGGGUUAAAGCUAAACUUGUCAUCCUGAAGAAAGAAGCAUAAUUCAGUUCCUGUUUCAGAUUCUUCUGAAACUUAAAACUUUAAUAUUCUGUUCAUCUGCUGGAGGUGGUGAAGAAGCUGUUUUACAUAAGCAGAAAUGUGUUUUUUUAAUUCAAAUUGCUCUCCCUCAACAAGAACAAUCAGGUGCAAAGUUGGAAAAAUAUCAUGUGGAAAGAAGAAAUAUGAUGCCUAAACAUGUCUUUAUAUGCAAUGACUUGCCACAGGCUUUUGUAAGUUGCUAUUUAUUUCAGCCAUAGCAGAAUUAAAAUCUUCUACAACUCUAUACACCUCAUUCCUGGGAGGCUGACUGGGGAGGUUAUGUAACGGGUAUUAAGGUGAAAUUCUUGCUAAAAUAUGUUUUGUAAUUAUCAUGUGAUGAAUGGUUUUUGGCGCCCCCUACUGGUUGCCUAUAAAUACAAAGCUAAACCGUAAAUUCCACGCAGUCUGUUGAGCGCUCUACUGUGGUAAGUCACCAAAUCCAGUUCUUUCUGAAUAGUCAUAGUAGGUGUGCUCAAAGACUGACGUGGAGUUUUAUUGCAGUAUGCGGAGAGCUGAUAGACCAGUAGUGGAGCUCACUGUACUAAUUUGUGUUGACCAUUUAUUACAGUCCCUGGUUGUUCAUGUGGGGCGAGAAAACAGCCUUAUCUGUCAUAUCAUGCGUUCCCGACGGACCCGGACCAACGGAGGCAGUGGAUCCAGGCGAUCCGAAGAGAUGAAGGUCCGGACUUUUGCAUAAAGACGGGGAGCAUUUUCGUAUGUAGCCGCCACUUCGCACCGGAGGAUUUUGUUAGCGGAUCCACCACCAGCCGUCUUAAAAGUGGAGCUGUUGCUUCCCUGUUUUCCUGGAAUAACUUCACUGCACUGGCAAUGAGAGAGUCUGCUUUCUAGAGGGCGAAGAAACGGCAGUUUGUCCUCUCAGAAAGCUAGCCAGGC